UGGAUGAUGAUGACCCUAUUUUUUUUUUGGAUGAUGAUGACCCUAUUAUUUUUUGGAUGAUGAUGGAUGAUGAUGGCCUGUAAUUUUUUGGAUGCUGAUGGCCUAUAAUUUUUUGACUGAUGAUGACCCUGAUAUAUUUUGGAUGUGGUGACUUAUAUUUUGGAGCUUGAAUGAUAUUAUUGUUAUUCAUGAAACAAUUGUUAUUUAUGAUGACUUAUAUUUUUGGAUGAUGAUGGAAUUGUUGGUAUACAAUUGUUAUUCAUGAAAGUUCUGCUAUGAUGUAAUCCAAGUAAUUGCAAAUAUUGAAUGAAUGCUUAAAUAAGACACCCUACAUAAUAAUACUUCUUUAACAGAGAUAAACUAUUGUAAUUGCAUCCUGUAAACCAACCCAAUUACAUAAAAAUUAUAUAAUACUCCAUCAUAUCAUGUAUUAAAUAGUCCAUCAUAUAUCUAAAAUACUCCCCUUAUCAGUAUAUCAAGGAUUACAAUACAGAAAAGUAAUUUAAGCCAAAAUAGAACUUUC
rnacentral:lncRNA from 1 species